rnacentral:miRNA from 1 species
UAAAAGAGCCGAUCUUAAAAGUUGGACUUUUAAAAUCGGUUAUUUAACCGAUUUUAAAAGUUAGCUUUUAAGAUGGGUUGUUUUA